UUCCUUCCGGUCAACGAGGGUACAUCCUCGUUGAUCGGAAGGAACCCCUUCCGAUCAAAGAGGUAGAUGCACCUCCCUGAUCGGAAGGGUUUCCUUCCGAUCAACGAGGAUGUACCUCGUUGACCGGAAGGAA
rnacentral:miRNA from 1 species